GCGCGCGUUUUUCUUGUCGGUGCGCAAGCGUUUUUGCGUUAAACGGGAAGCCGGUGGCGCUCUUUGGAGCCAUCCCGGCACUGCCCCCGCAACGGUGAAUGACCGCCCCUCGGGCGGCGACUCCAACAGCCACUGGGAAUUUUCCCGGGAAGGCGGAGUCGUCAGGGUCAUGAGUCCGGAGACCGGCCGACAGGAAGCGACUGGU
rnacentral:ncRNA from 2 species